ensembl:lncRNA LINC02471 long intergenic non-protein coding RNA 2471
GAAUGACUGACAGAAUGGCUUUGGUUCACCUGUAAUUCACAGUUUAGCUGAUCCAGUGUACUGUAAAGUCUGUUUCACUCCACCAGCCAACAAGGAGCAGGCGGCCGUGGUUUUCUCAUGUUCUGGGGGAAGCUGUUUGUCAGUGUUAACCUGGCUAACUUUGGACAGCUGCAACAACAACAUCUAUCCCUUGGCAUAUGGUGUGUUUAGAUGCUAAACACUGCCUCAUCUUCUUAGAAAUAAUUGCAGUGAACAAUACAGGUUUGAGCUGCACAGGUUCACUUCUAUGCAAAGUUUCUUCCACUGCUGCCACCCCUGAGACAGCAAGUCCUACUCCACCUCUUCCUCCUUCUCCUUUGCCUACUCAACAUGGAGACACUAAGGAUAAAGACGUUUAUGAUGAUCCACUUCCAUGCUGGAAUCCAGAAUGCAGUGGCACUAUCCUAGCUCACUACAGACUUGAACGCGUGGUCUCAAGUGAUCCUCUUACCUCAGCCUCCUGAGUAGCUAAGGCUACAGAGUUUUGCUCUUUAGCCCAGGCUGAUGUGCGGUGGAGCGAUCUCCGCUCACCCGCAAUCUCCGCCUUCUGGGUUCAAGGAUCCUCCUGCCUCAGCAUCUCGAGUAGCUGGGACUACAGGCACCUGCCACCACGCGCCAGGCUAAUUUUUGUAUUUUUAGUAGAGACGGGGUUUCACCAUGUUGGCCAGGCUGCUCUCAAACUCCUGACUUCGUAAUCCAUCCGCCUCGGCCUCACAAAGUGCUGGGAUUACAGGCGAAUAAACUGUACUGAGCCACAGCGCCCGGCCAGGAUCUGAUGAUUUUAUAAGGGGCUUCCCCCUGCGCUUCGCACUCACUCCGUCCUGCCGCCCUGUGAAGAAAGAGCCUGCUUCUCCUUUGCCUUCUGCCAUGAUUGUGGCUAGUCACGGUGGCUCAUGCCUGUAAUCCUCAUCACUUUGGUAGGCCGAGAUGAAAAGACUGCAAGGAGUUAAUGACCAGCCUGGACAACAUAGCGAGACCCCAUCUCAAGAAAAUAUUCCCAGCUUCCAAUUGUUUUGCCUAGAGACUUUAAGGCCUAUGACUGCCAGAAUGAAAGAUUGUUACCUCUUUUCCCUUGCUUAUUAAGAUGGCCAGAGGGUGUGAUGGCUCCUACCUGACUGAUACAAUUGAAAUCAAAGACUUGCCAAGUUAUACCAGCAACUCCAGCAAAACUGUGAACUUACUGGCCUUGGAGGACUAUGGAUUGAAACACACAAAACAUCUUUGGCUGUGCAUGCCCUUCACACUGGCUGCCUAGUCCCCUCACAGAAGAUUGUACCAUGUGGUAGUUGGCGUAAGAAACCAUUGUGUAUAUGAAUUUUGUCAUGAGGACCUAGUGGUCAGCACUCUUGCACAUUACAGAACAAGGAAAAUAUAGUAUUUAUAAACUCUUCAGCAGUCCCUAUUAGGGAGCCCAAAUUCAAUUCACCUAAACGGGAAAAGUGCAAAUAUAACAAAGGAUUAGAUCAGUUAUCAAGCUAAAUGAAUCCUAAAGCAUAUUGCCUUCUAAACUAAUUUUAUUCAAUACAUAGCUUUAAGAUUACUAUGUAGAUGGACUUUAUUUUUUUCAAUUAGCUUUGUGCCACUCAGGAAUACAAAAAAUGUUUCAGAUAUCUUUUUUAAUCCAUUGUUUGUUCCCAAAUAUAUAUAAACUUCUUUCAAUUUUAAGCUAUAAUUCUGUUGCACACUGUGAAUAUAAAGUCAGCUGAAUCAUAAUGUCUUGUUCAUCCAGCUUCUGUGAACAGGUAGACAUUGACUGGAAUCUUUCCAAGCCCUUGGAAAUGGAAAUUUUUAGCUAUUGGUUAAGGCAACACUCUUUGCAUCUGAAGCAGUGAAUACGAUGUUAAUGCUUAAGCUAUCUUAAUUUUCCAAAUGCUAAUGGCAUAGUUGAAAGUGUUAAUAAUAUGACUAUAUCAGAUCUUGACUUUAGGGGGGCUUAAUUUAUCCUAUCCUUGAGCAAACCAUCUGGCAUUGCUAAGCCCAAAGUUGCCUGGGCCUGUGUAACACUGGGUGGGUUUUAAUUCUUUUGUCUAGCCUAGUAAAUCAUUCAAUAUGGUUAGUUUUUGAAUGCCAGCUUGUUUUCAAAACUGAAAUAUUAAGAGCUGAUGAUAUAAACCAAAAUUGAAACUAGAAGAAAUUUCUCCUUCCUUAUUUUACACAGAAGUGGGCUGGAGCUGCUGCAAUCACGGGGAUGUCUGAUAUUGCAACAAAGGAAGCAAAACAGAGCUAAAUGAAUCCUGUGCAAUGAGGAGGCAUUUUCAGGUAGUGGCCAGAAACUAGAAACUGCUCUUUUCUGGUUAAAAACGUUUGUGACCCAUAAAACCUUCUCACUGCUUACUAAAUAGCACAGUUCUGAGAUACAAACCAGCAAAUUUACAAAUCACAAUGCUUUUCCUGCUGAAUCAAUAGCUGUAGCAAAUAUAUAUAUGUAAAAUGCAAUGGAAAAAUGAAGACCUCUUUAGAAGCCUGCAGAAAAUUUAUACUAGAUAUGAAAGUUUGAGCAAUCACGUAAAAGCCCUAGUCCCUUAACAUUGCUUUUAAGGUCAUCAGUGUCCUGGACGUUGGUGACUUCCCUGCACCCAUUUCUUCACUCCCCACCUUGAACUUCAUGUUUAACUCUUAUUUCUUCCAGUACUUAGUGAACACUGUCUUCUCUCUAAGCCUUUUCCUGGAGGAACAUUCUCUUGUCUGACUUCCUAAGUCUGAGUUAAGUGGUCUCCUAUGUCUCCUCUAAUAAACUUAUUUUACCCUGUCAUUAUUCUUAGUGCACUUAUUUAAUUCCCUGUUUACUAGCUUAUCCUGCUUCUAGGUUACAAGCUCUGGCAUAUCUGUUCUGUUCACCAUUGUAUCCUGAAUGCCUGGCACUUAGAAAGCCUUCAAUAAAUACUUGUUGAAUGGCGUUCAUUGCAGAAGCACUAAAGAAUUUUUGCAUGUUUUUACAUUAAGAAAAAUCUUAGUAGCAGGAUCAGAUCUCAGUCAUAUAGUACACUCAGUUGUGCAAACAUGAUUCCGGUAAUUUAUAUUCUUUAAAUAAACUGAAUUUUAAUUCCAAACUACUAUUUCACUAGGAUGUCAAGAAAUUUCAUCUCAGUCAUUUAGGGGCCAGAUCCUUCCCUGGGAUCUCACAGAACCAGGGAGGUUUAUAUGAGAUCCACGAAAUGGCUGAAAGGGCUCCACUGUCUUUCUGGUACUGCUCCUAGUCCACGCAUGAGGAAAGAAGCCCUGUCAAUCUCUGCUCCUAAGCUACACAGGGUUUCAAUAAUCUGAGCUGCUUCUGGGAAGCCCCUGCCCAGAGCCCUGUCUUCCUAGUUAUUCCUGCAAGGAAUUUGCUCUGAAGCCUGGUCACUGCCACGCCUUCUCCAGUUCACCCUACCUUCAUCAAUUCUGACCUCUUUUUUGAUCUUAGAAAAAUUUUACCUCCUCCACUUCCUUCUCAUUUCUCCCCUGAAUGUACCCUCCCCCUUUCAUUGGCACUUAACCUUUCAAAAUAGGACAGGCCUUAGAAUAACAAAUGCCAGGAAGGCAUCUUGUUCUCAAGCCCCAUAAAUCUCGGGCAAGAAACAUAAACGUCAUGGAUAAUCAGUUACAAAUAGGAAGUGGAAGGAAAUAUACAGAGAACAAAUAUCCAAAAUAAUUUUUCAACAGAGAAGACAACUACAAAAUCCUGCUACUUCUCGAUUUCCUUAUGUAAAGAUUUGGCCAGAUGGCCCAAGAUGUUAAUAAUGUUAGAUACAGGAUUGGAGAUACUGCAGAUGGGCAAAGAUCACAACCACUUCCCUCAGGCACAAGCUAAAAUGGGUACCAGCUUCUAGAAGCAUUUGGAAAUUAACAUCUAAAACACACUGUUUUAUUUAAAGUUUACUUUUCCUCUUUUUCUUUCUCUUUUGUAUUUAUAUAUACACACAUAUAUAUCAAUCAUAUGUGUAUGUGUGAUGUUUGCAUACAAUAAACUUACAUAUAUACAUGCAUACAUAUAUAAUACAUGUUAUAUGUAAGUAUAUAGUAUAACAUAUUUAUUUUGUAUUUGUUUAUUGUAUAUUAAAUUAUAUAUUAUAUUUAUAUAAUAUAUAUGUUAAUAAUAUUAGAUAGAAUUUGUAUAUUACAUAAUAUUGUAUGUUAUAUAAUGUGAAAGGAAAAUAUCUUGUGCCCCCAAAAUCACUAAGGUAAGGGGAAAAUUCAAGCUAAGAACUGCUUAGGGCAAACCUGCCUCCCAUGCUAUUCAAAGUAUUCCCUUUGCUCACUGAGAUAAAUGCAUAACUGAUUGCCUCCUUUGGAAAGACUAAUCAGAAACUCAAAAGAAUGCAACCAUUUUUGUCUCUCACCCACCUGUGACCUGGAAGCCCCCUCCCUGCUCCAAGUUGCUUAGGGAAAAAAAAUAAAAAUUAAAAAAAAAAUUAAAAUUCAGAUUAUUACAUCUGUGUAUCUCUUUGUAUGCACUUUCAAAGUACUUAUGACAUUGAGUUACAGGGCUUUGACUCUUGGGUCCACAAAGGGACACCAAGUCCUGCUAAAUUUUAAACACUGACAGCAAUUAAAGCCCCAUCUUCAGGCCCAGUACAAGAUGUCAAUCAAAAUAAACUGCAUUCCUGAAACAUAGAGCCAGAAAUUAAAGCUAUUCAACUCCUCAAGGCCCAGGGACUAUCAUGGAAAAGGUGGGUGUGUGAGAAUGUAAGAGUCAAUCCUGAGUUCAGUUUCUCUAUAAAUUAAUCAUUAAUG